GAUGAACGCUGGCGGCGUGCCUAACACAUGCAAGUCGAACGGAGUUAUUAUCAUGAAGUCUUCGGAUGGAUUGAUAAUAGCUUAGUGGCGGACGGGUGAGUAACGCGUGGGUAACCUACCUCAUACUGGGGGAUAACAGCUGGAAACGGCUGCUAAAACCGCAUAAGAUCGUAGUGCCGCAUGGCAUAGCGAUUAAAUAUUUCAUAGGUAUGAGAUGGGCCCGCGUCUGAUUAGCUAGUUGGUGAGGUAAAGGCUCACCAAGGCGACGAUCAGUAGCCGAACUGAGAGGUUGAUCGGCCACAUUGGGACUGAGACACGGCCCAGACUCCUACGGGAGGCAGCAGUGGGGAAUAUUGCACAAUGGGGGAAACCCUGAUGCAGCGACGCCGCGUGAAGGAAGAAGGCCCUCGGGUUGUAAACUUCUUUGACCAGGGACGAAGAAAGUGACGGUACCUGGAGAACAAGCCACGGCUAACUACGUGCCAGCAGACCCGG
rnacentral:rRNA from 1 species